GACGAACGCUGGCGGCGUGCUUAACACAUGCAAGUCGAACGGAAAGGCCCUGCUUUUGUGGGGUGCUCGAGUGGCGAACGGGUGAGUAACACGUGAGUAACCUGCCCUUGACUUUGGGAUAACUUCAGGAAACUGGGGCUAAUACCGGAUAGGAGCUCCUGCUGCAUGGGGGGGGUUGGAAAGUUUCGGCGGUUGGGGAUGGACUCGCGGCUUAUCAGCUUGUUGGUGGGGUAGUGGCUUACCAAGGCUUUGACGGGUAGCCGGCCUGAGAGGGUGACCGGCCACAUUGGGACUGAGAUACGGCCCAGACGCCUACGGGAGGCAGCAGUGGGGAAUAUUGCACAAUGGGCGGACGCCUGAUGCAGCAGCGCCGCGUGCGGGAUGACGGCCUUCGGGUUGUAAACCGCUUUCGCCUGUGACGAAGCGUGAGUGACGGUAAUGGGUAAAGAAGCACCGGCUAACUACGUG
rnacentral:rRNA from 1 species